AUUGAACGCUGGCGGCAGGCCUAACACAUGCAAGUCGAGCGGAUGAAGGGAGCUUGCUCCUGGAUUCAGCGGCGGACGGGUGAGUAAUGCCUAGGAAUCUGCCUGGUAGUGGGGGAUAACGUCCGGAAACGGGCGCUAAUACCGCAUACGUCCUGAGGGAGAAAGUGGGGGAUCUUCGGACCUCACGCUAUCAGAUGAGCCUAGGUCGGAUUAGCUAGUUGGUGGGGUAAAGGCCUACCAAGGCGACGAUCCGUAACUGGUCUGAGAGGAUGAUCAGUCACACUGGAACUGAGACACGGUCCAGACUCCUACGGGAGGCAGCAGUGGGGAAUAUUGGACAAUGGGCGAAAGCCUGAUCCAGCCAUGCCGCGUGUGUGAAGAAGGUCUUCGGAUUGUAAAGCACUUUAAGUUGGGAGGAAGGGCAGCAAGGUAAUACCUUGCUGUUUUGACGUUACCAACAGAAUAAGCACCGGCUAACUUCGUG
rnacentral:rRNA from 1 species